rnacentral:tRNA from 4 species
GAUCCCGUAGCUCAGCCGGUAGAGCACGUGACUUUUAAUCAUGGGGUCGUGGGUUCGAAUCCCACCGGGAUCACCA